UACGUAGGGGGCGAGCGUUGUCCGGAAUCAUUGGGCGUAAAGAGCGUGUAGGCGGCCCGAUAAGUCCGCUGUGAAAGUCCAGGGCUCAACCCUGGAAUGCCGGUGGAUACUGUGAGGCUAGAGUACGGAAGAGGCGAGUGGAAUUCCUGGUGUAGCGGUGGAAUGCGCAGAUAUCAGGAGGAACACCAAUAGCGAAGGCAGCUCGCUGGGACGUACUGACACUGAGGCGCGAAAGCGUGGGGAGCGAACAGG
rnacentral:rRNA from 1 species